rnacentral:rRNA from 1 species
UACGUAGGGGGCAAGCGUUGUCCGGAAUUAUUGGGCGUAAAGCGCGUGUAGGCGGCCAGAAAAGUCCGCUGUGAAAACUCGAGGCUCAACUUCGAGCUGUCGGUGGAAACUUUCUGGCUAGAGUCCGGAAGAGGAGAAUGGAAUUCCUGGUGUAGCGGUGAAAUGCGCAGAUAUCAGGAAGAACACCAAUGGCGAAGGCAGCUCUCUGGGACGGUACUGACGCUGAGACGCGAAAGCGUGGGGAGCGAACAGG